rnacentral:rRNA from 1 species
GAUGAACGCUGGCGGCGUGCCUAAUACAUGCAAGUCGAGCGAACGGACGAGAAGCUUGCUUCUCUGAUGUUAGCGGCGGACGGGUGAGUCACACGUGGAUAACCUACCUAUAAGACUGGGAUAACUUCGGGAAACCGGCGCUAAUCCCGUAUAAUAUUUUGAACCGCAUGGUUCAAAAGUGAAAGACGGUCUUGCUGUCACUUCUCGCUGGAUCCGCGCUGCAUUAGCUAGUUGGUAAGGUAACGGCUUACCAAGGCAACGAUGCAUAGCCGACCUGAGAGGGUGAUAGGCGACACGGGAAGUGAGACACGGUCAAGACUCCUAAGGGAGGCAGCAGUAGGGAAUCUGACGCAAUAGGCGAAAGCCUGACGGAGUAAGGCCGCGUGAGUGAUGAAGGUCUUGGGAGCGUAAAAAUCUGUUAUUAGGGAAGAACAGAUGUGUAAGUAAAUGUGCAGAGAGUGACGGUACCGAAUCAGAAAGCAACGGCUAACUACGUG